rnacentral:miRNA from 1 species
CCUGAGGAUCUUGUUGAAAUACAGGUUCUAACUUUGGGCCUGGGAAUCUGCAUUUCUAACAAGCUCCCAGGUGAUGCCAA